AAUUUUUGUAGCGUAAAAGCUAAAUAAAUUCAUACAUACUGUGAUACAGAUAACCAAAGUAUAACAUUUAAUUUACAGUGACACAUGGGCCCACGAACGACCAAAAGUAUCAAAAGCGGUAAACCUACAGUUUUUCGGGAUGCAAGUCCAAUUGUAGCCCUUAACGAAAUGAGCUAUCUACCGACUAUCUUGAGCCUAAAAUGGGUGGAAAGGAGGGUGAUGAGAUUAUAAAAUCUCAAUGAGUAAACAAACAUCAUCUAAAUCAGCAAAAGCUGAGUAAUAGGAGACAAUCAAAAUAUCCCAUCACAAUACGUAUUUUUCAACUUGAAAAUUCAUUCUAACCCAUGCAACUGAUUGUAUUUCGUUUAAUUUCUCAAUAAGGCUUAUGUCACGACCCGGAACUCCCCAUCAGGCCCGUGACAACUGCUGCGAAGCCUCGACAAACAUUCUUCUCCCUGAAUGCUGAUCAAAACCUCAUAAGGCUCUCGUAUCAGCUUUUGCACUUCCCCGUUGAGCAAUAGUUAUCAAAUAUCGUAAUUCGAAAGAUUUCGAGUCAUUUCCAAACCGGAACAUAACAUAUUGUUUUCUGGCUCACAGAGGCAUUUUCGCUAUUUUUCAUCAAAAAUCUCAAAACUUGCUAAAAAUGUAGUAGGUAAGCAGAAAAUAUAUAUUUAGUGAUUUAAAAACAAAUUAAGUAUCUAAAACGUUCAUUUGAAGUGAAAAUUUGACCAUUUGAAUAUAAUAAAAAUAUUCAAUAAAAUAAACUAUUUUCUUGUAAAAUAAUUUUUAUAAAGCUAUCGGUAAAUAAUUCUUAUAGAAAAAAGUUAUUUAUAUUCAUAUAUACUAUAAAGCAAAUAACCAAAGCAUAAAAUUACUUUUACAGCGACACGUGGGCACACAUCUAACCAAAAUGCAUCGGAAGCUGAAAACCUACAGCUUUUACCGAUUCAAGUCCAAAUGAAGGCCCUUGUCAAAGUCAACUAACUAUGAAAUUCCCUGAGCCUGAAAUGUAAGGAAAUGAGGGUGGUGAGAUUAUAAAAUCCCAAUGAGUAAACAGACACCAUCUAAACUAUGCAAAUAAAUGGAGACGAAUUUAAAAUAUUCUUUUCCAAUAUAUGUUUUAUAACAUGAAUAUUCAGUUUACUCAAUUAAUCAACAUGGCUUAUAUAUCUCACAAAACUUGGCUCCUGCCAAAAUCAUUCUUGGGGAUGCCUUGGCCUAGGCAUUUGACCGAGACCACCAAGGCUGUUAAAUGUCUUUACAUCCAAAAUUCUAGCCAUGCCUUGGCGUUGGCUGAGUCUCACUCUCAUGCGGUGGUCCACGUGAAGUGCACUCAAAUCUUUACCUCCAGAGACACCCUCCACACAGCUCUUCGAUCGAGGUAAGGUAUACCUGAUUCUAUGCCCCCUCUUUUAGGCUGGUCCACAAAACCUCAUAUGCAGGGAUUAUGGAUUAUUUUAUCCACCACCUGAUUUAUAAAAUCUUUAUCUGCAUGACAUGGCAAUUUAUUGCAAUCUAGCCUCUCAAGGCUGAAUACAUAGUAUAUAUAAUUUUGAUACAAAUACCGACUUUGCCAUUCAUGCUCACAUAUUGCUAUAAGCCAUAUAAUUAAAAACACAAUUUAUAACACAAGCAAGCAGUCUCCAACUACUCUAAUUUCAAAACCAGUAUUCAAUUUUUCUAGAAAAUUUAUAAAAUCAUUUUAUAAAAUCACAAUUUCUCCUAAAACAUAGCAAUUUACCAUUUAAACCCAUUUUCUAUAAAAUCACACAAUUGAAUAAAACCACUCUAAAUAAUUAUGACGAUAAUAAGUUUACUCACAGUUCUAGGAGUCAAUGUCCUCCUAAUCCCAGUCUUCAAGUACAAUCUCUGUACUUUUACCAGUGUAAUUUGCUCACCACUUAUCCACAAUGUACAAUACAUAAUUCACCACAUUAAUGCUUGACCAUUAUAAAAUCAAUUCAGGCUCGGUGUAUAUGUAUGAUAUGAUAUGCAACUUAUCCGACUAUCGCUUAAAUGCGGUGUUGACCUAAUUCGGCCUAUUACCCGAUUAAAUGAAAAUUGUGUCUGAUUUGUUUCCAAAUUGCUCCAUUUCAUUUCUAAUAUUUCAAUUCACUAAAUACCAUUCCAAUAAUCUAAAAUUCAGCCUAACAACCCUCAAAAUUCUUCUUGAAAAUUUUGGCCAUUGUGGUGCACUAUCACUAAAAAUUUUCCCAUUCCAUUUUCUCACCAUAAAUCAUCAUUUCAUCAAUUUUUCAACCAAUUCACUUGAUCACAAAAUCAAUUCAUUACUUCUACACUUCACAUAGAGUUCAACCAUUGAAGGUUCAUGGGGAAAAUGGAUUUUUUUCUUGUUGUUUUGUUUCUAAACAUACUUAACAAACUCUAAACACCAACAUAACUCAAAAUCAAACAAUUGCAACAUCAUUUCUCUAACCAAACCCAUUCGGCCUACCACUUAUUCACUAUGAAAUCAUGCUUCUCAACCAUAGAAAUAAGAAAAUAAAGCAUGGGUAUUGUAAAUCUCAAGUAAAAAUAAAGAAUUUUCACUUUACCUUGCUUAAUUCCUUGGAUUUUCACACUUUCUCUUCAAUUUUCCCCACCUAGGGUUUGUGUUCUUUCCUUUCCUGUUCACUUCAUGCUUUG
rnacentral:lncRNA from 1 species